rnacentral:rRNA from 1 species
CCUACGGGGGGCUGCAGUGAGGAAUAUUGGUCAAUGGGCGCAAGCCUGAACCAGCCAUCCCGCGUGAAGGAUGAAGGCCCUAUGGGUCGUAAACUUCUUUUAUACACCAAGAAAAAUUCCGACGUGUCGGGACUCGACGGUAGUGUAUGAAUAAGCAUCGGCUAACUCCGUGCCAGCAGCCGCGGUAAUACGGAGGAUGCAAGCGUUAUCCGGAUUCAUUGGGUUUAAAGGGUGCGUAGGCGGCUUUUUAAGUCAGUGGUGAAAUCUUGCCGCUUAACGGUAAAAUUGCCAUUGAUACUGAAAAGCUUGAGUACAUUUGAGGUAAGCGGAAUGUGUAGUGUAGCGGUGAAAUGCUUAGAUAUUACACAGAACACCAAUUGCGAAGGCAGCUUACUAAACUGUUACUGACGCUGAUGCACGAAAGCGUGGGGAGCGAACAGGCUUAGAUACCCCGGUAGUC